rnacentral:lncRNA from 1 species
GAGGAGAUGAAGAAGUAUGUGCUCCCUUUGUUAGUUCUAUCACACUGCUACUCGGUCCCAUCUCUCAAAAGAGUCUGCAUAGAGGUUCUCGGUCAAGGAUGGAUCAACAAGGAGAAUGUCAUCGACGUGCUCCAGCUAGCUCGAACCUGCGACGCCGCGAGGAUCAGCUUUCUAUGUACUUCAAUGGUCAUCAAAGACUUUAAGUCUGUAUCUUCAACCGAAGGAUGGAAGGUGAUGACACGUGGCGAUCGUAAGCUAGAGCAAGAGCUUCUUGAGGCGGUGGUGGAGGCAGACGCUAGGAAGAAAGAGAGGAGGAAGAAAGUGGAGGAGAGGAGAAUGUACUUGGAGCUUUAUGAAGCUGUGGAGGCUCUUGUUCAUAUAUAUAGAGAAGGUUGUGGGACGAUAGGGCCUCGAGGUAAAGCUCUUAAAGGAAGCAAAGCUGUGUGUGAGUUCUCGGCUUGUAAAGGAAUUGAAGGUGGGCUAAGACAUUUCUUGGGAUGCAAGUCUUCUAGGGCUUCGUGUGGUCAUUGUAAGCGGAUGUGGCAGCUUAUUCAGCUUCACUCUUGUCUAUGUGGUAGUUCUGAUUCCUGCGAGGUCCCUCUCUGCCGGUAAGUUCCAGUAACAUAUCCUUCGAAUGUUAUAUAAACAGUUUGUAAUCAUUUCUUUUGUAUUUUGUAGGAACUUCAAGGAGCAAAUGAAAAAGAUUAGCAAGAGAGAAGAGUCUAAAUGGAGAUUGCUUGCGGAGCACGUUACUACAGCUAAAAGAAGUCUUGGUCCAUUCUCUCCUUCACGCCGUUCUGCUUUGAUAUAAUAUAGGUUUUAGAGUCAUUGAAGUGUAAAUAUAUACAAGGGAUAGGGAUAAAGACUGUGUGUCAAGAACAUGGCCCAUCAUAGUGGUUUUGGAACAAAUGUUGUCUUCGCCAUGUUGUUGGUUACUUUUCUAUAUACAUGAUGAGUCUUGAUCUUUGACAGUGUUGUAAAGAAGUUUUCGCAUCAUCAUACAAUUCUUUUUUUUUUUGUAUACAAUGUGUUGUUCACAUCAAAGUAGUCUCAGAAGACUUUAAAGGCAGACAGAAGAUAAUAAAGAUCAUGCUAGUCAUGUAUAACACAUAUUUUAAGUUGAGUUAUGUACUGAAAAUAUAUAUUUGCUAGUUUAUACUGAAAAAAUACUUUAGUUUAUAUACUGAAAAUAUAAGUUGAGCUCUCCCAUUGACUUUGCUAAGUCACAGAGAGCAAGUAGCUAAUAUAAAUCACUUAACUUCCCAAUUUGUUUAUUUUUGGUCUUCAGAGUUUACCUCCAAAUCAAAUGUUUCUUUUGUCUUUAAAUACAGAACUUCAAACUUCAUCACAUCAAAGAUCUAAAACCCAUUUCUGGUUGCCUUGUUUCAAAAGCCAGACGAAAAUGGAAAGCUUUCGUUUUCCAUAUUGGGUAAUUCUUGCAAUGUGUCUCCUCGUUUCAGUUCUUUCUCAAGAUCAAUCAGGUUUUUUAAGAAAUGAUUAUUGUAUCUCUAAAAGUCGUUAUAAUGAAGAAAGUUUAAUCCUUUACUCCUUGUAUGGAUCAAAAUGUCUAACCUCACAGGUUUCAUAAGCAUUGACUGUGGAAUCGUCAUUUUAUAAUCGAUAAAUAUUGCAGUGUUGCAAAAUGUUAAAAACAUUUAAUAAACAAACAUUAUUAUAAAAACUCACUGCGCGGAUUAUUACCUAGUAUUAUUAUUCGCAACAUGUAUACGUAUGUAUACUUUUAACACCAACAAAAAAAACAUAUACUUUAUUAGGUUAUUUUUGUCUUCUUCGCCAUGGGGAGACACAUACACUGCACCUCUGCUGUAUAUUACUACUGUUGAUGUCAUUGCUGAUGCAACCCGGAUCCAAAGUGUAAAUCAUUGAUAGAUAGUCGUGUCUCAUGCUAUCUAAUUAUCUAUAGCUAGAUGAUUAUAUUAACUUAACUAAUUAAUUAAUUGUAUUAGAAGCUUAACUGAUACUCUUUCUAUUAUAUCUAAUAGACUUUUUUUAAAAAAAAUUUGUUUUAAAAAGAUGUAUUUUUUGUGUUUUCUAUGAAAAAAUUGUAAACUUAAAAAAAUAUUAAUUGAUUUUAUUAAAUUAUUAUUGGUUAAAAGUUAUUAAAAAUUAAAAAUAACAGAAAACGAUACAUAUUAUAAUAGUUUAAUGUGUUUUGUGAAAAUACUAAAAAAUAUAUAUACGUGGAACAGAGAGAGAGUAUUUGCUUGUGUAGUUUUCUGUUGAUGUUGAUGUGUGUCUUAAAUGUGAAUAGUAAUAUUGCGUAAUAAGAUCUACAAUAUUUCAAGACUAGUUAACUUCAAAAUAUAAUCGAAAGGAAAUACUUUUUUUAAAGUAACUAGCUAAUUGAUACUACUAGUUAAAAGUAUAUACAUCAACAUAUAUUUACAAAUAAAUUGUUUUAAAGAAAUGGUGUUUAUAAACGAUAACUUUGAAGCUGAAAGAGACCGGAGUCGUCUUAGCCGACUUUUCUUUCUUGAACCUCAAGAUUCUGCCGUCAUUUUCGUGAAUUCUGAGUGGUCGACCGUUAUUUAUUCAUAUAUAAAAAAGCAAUUAGUUAUACAUAUAUGACUAGUCUUCGUUUCAACUUAUAUCAGGGGGGAAUCUAGACUAUUUAAGUUAUGGGUGCACUGUUGAUAGUAAAACAUAAAAAUACAUUGGUCAAGGAUCGAACUUGAGAAAGUGAGGGUGCAAAUACUUCUAUUUACCAUAUGAGCUAACAAAACUUUGACAUUUCGGCAUGUAAAAUUUUGAAUUUUAAGAUUAUUGUGGGUGCACGUGCCCACACAUCCUAUAUGAGCUAACCAAACUUUGACAUUUCUGCUUAUAUACAUUCUCAGUAGUUACAUUUUAGUUCCAAAUAAAUUAUGCAUGUGUUCUCUCUAGAUGUUCAUCAAGUGAUGAUGCAUAUAUUUUUCGUUUGUUUUUAUAGAAUUUUGUUUAACAUGCUAACAUUUCUAUAAUACUGAUGUCCAUCAUUUCCCGUUACUAACUGUUAAAUGUUACAUUUCCAAAGGUUUUUUAAGUUUUUAAAUGAAAACAGUUUAUGGUAGUAUUUUGAGAAAAAAAAUCGAAAAGGAACUAUUGAUGUAUCUUUAUAUCCAAUAAGUGGGCUUGUAGUUCUAUUAUUUGGGCCCAUGUACGUCGUUCAACGCCAUCCUACAUGGAUGUUGAAAACCCAUCCAGCCACCUGGUGCUCCUUUAUUGGCCAGUAACAUGUAUUCGCCACAGCCAGCUCACACUAAAUUUCUGCAAAAAAAAAAAAAAAGGAGUUUUUGAUCACUCCGUUCUUCCGUCACCCUUCCACUAGAAACCCGUGACAAAGUUGGUUAUCACCCAAGUCAUGUUGAAUCUUCGUUUGGUUAGGUUAAACGAAAAGAAACUAAACUCGAUGGUGGAUCUUUCAAAGACGUUUUAUUGAUCAGUAUAUGAUAGCGAACGAGAUUACAAAGAGAUUAACAGAAAGAAAGGUCGGAGUUUUGUGGAAAGACGCCGACAAGAACACUGGAGAGAUCGAUAGGUCGUUAAACCCUAGAUCUUGCCGUCAAGUGUUUGUGUAUAUUUUUCGGAUCCCUUUCUCUGUUCUUUGUGUUUUCUUUUUAUACCCUCGGUUCGUCUUCUUUCCGUUCGCCAUAAGGUUAGUUCGCCCCAGAAGCCUGGCCCAAUUCCAAAUGAGAUGGGCUUUCGAGUAAAGUGAAGGUUCGUUGAGCCGAAGUCGAAUAAACGGCUCAAUCGAUCAAUGUAUCAAGGCGAUCGAUCGAAUGUUCCAGCCGAUCGAUAUGUCGGCUAAACCGGUUCUGACUGGACAGUUGAUGUUAUCGGACCAAAUUCUGUUGUUUGAUGGGCUUUGCGGAGGAAUGUAAAUUCCUCUCCAAUAAGUCAUAUGCAGUCCAUCACCAGAUCUUAUUUUAUAAAUGUCCAAGUUCUUAAUUUUGUGAUUAUUUAACUCAAUUGAAUAAAUUUGUUUACCAUUCUUAAUUACUCUUUUUCACAGUGAUUAUUCUGAACUUAUAUUAUUUUUCUAUAGUAGGGAUGAAACAUCCCAAUUCCGAUCAUAUUAUUGGACUGGGUACUAUUUUUCAACCGUCUGGUCGGUAUGAUAAGGUGCCAGUAAUAUACACAUUAUUUUGAUUUAAUUUACCGGCAUAGAAGACAUAUAAUACAAAAAUGGGGGUGACAAGGAUCACUAACUUUAGUCUUUAGUGCAAUUCAAGAUCAGCCAUAUACGUCUUUCAACCUUAUAAUAUCUCCCCUCAAAUCAUUUUAAGCUAAUAAUAUUAUUUUUUUAAAAUCAUUCGUGGCCUUCAAUUUUUCGUUAUUUAUGUCAGAAAAUGCCAUACUCCUAAUUCUUCAUCGCAACACCCAAAACGUCGUCGUUGGGCAGACGUUUAGUAAGCAAAUUUGCUACUUCCCGUGUGCUUUAGAUUUAAAGGACGAAACCAACCACUUGGCACCAAAAAGAACUUCUCUUUCUUCGCUCUUCAGUUGUGAUCAUCAUUCUCUGUAUCGCGUUGAGUUGGUGGUGAUUGAAGAAAGAGUAAUGGUUAUGAACUUCACCUAGAUACUCUUUAUCAUCUCGGCCGAGUAUUGGGUAAACGUCGUCGUCUCUGUUUCUGCGUGAGAAUGAUCAAAGACUCCUCCUUUCUUCUCCCUUCCUCUGUUCUUCGUUGGUUUGAUCACUUUUCGAUCGUUACAGUUUCUGCGUUUUGAUUACUUUAUCUUGCAAUGAUGAACUGAGAAUGUGAGAAUCUUUACGUAUAGUUUCAUCUGUUGAACGUUCUUGCUUCUCUGUUCUUUCGUUUCUUGGUUCUGUGACAGUCUCUGUUUCUGCCUCUGUUUUGAUCAGUUUUAUGUCAAAUUUUCGAACUUUGUGGUCGAUGGUUUGCUGUCAAGUACGAUUCUUGACAUUGUGGUCGAUGCUUUGCAGAUUCAAGAACUGUAACAGAAUCUAUUCUCAAGUCGCGGGAUUUGAUUCAAUGGCUUCUUCAGAAGUAUCUACUUGUGCCAAGAAUAUUCCAAAACCUCCUCCUCUUCCUCGUGCAACCUACCGUGGCCUCCAAGCUUCCAGAAGCAAACCCUCGAGCUCAUCAUCACGCCUUGUGCCCCAAGAAACAGUAGAGACCUGGGACAAGCUUUUCAAACAAGGAACUGGGGCAGAUACAUACGUUGAAGUUGACGACAAGUCUCAUUUUCUAGCCCAUUCAUACAUCCUGGUGAGUAUAAAAAUCUUAUUUAUUUAUUUUAUAAAAGAUUUUCUAUUAAGUAUAAAAAUCUUAUUUAAACUCAUAUAAGAGAAGUAAUAUUCUAAAGUAAAAGGUUGUUAUCUUUUGUAGGCUGCAGCUUCACCUGUUAUGCCACAGCUUCUACACAAAUCGAGGGAUAAAAAAGGAAAUGCACACCUCAAGUUCCUUGGAGUGCCUCAAGAAGCUGUCUACAUGUUCAUUCGGUUUCUCUACUCUUGCAGCUACGAGGAGGAGGAGAUGAAGAAGUAUGUGCUCCCUUUGUUAGUUCUAUCACACUGCUACUCGGUCCCAUCUCUCAAAAGAGUCUGCAUAGAGGUUCUCGGUCAAGGAUGGAUCAACAAGGAGAAUGUCAUCGACGUGCUCCAGCUAGCUCGAACCUGCGACGCCGCGAGGAUCAGCUUUCUAUGUACUUCAAUGGUCAUCAAAGACUUUAAGUCUGUAUCUUCAACCGAAGGAUGGAAGGUGAUGACACGUGGCGAUCGUAAGCUAGAGCAAGAGCUUCUUGAGGCGGUGGUGGAGGCAGAC